GAAAAUGUCCGAAAGGAGUUUGAGGAGGCACGAUUUGAGAGAGAUCCAGAAGUCAUCACCAGGUUGCUUAUUGGAGGCCGGGAUGCUCUGCAAGCUGCUUUGGAUAAACUUGCUGAGAAACAAAAGCAAGAAAUCGAAAAGCAACAUGGCAAUUCAAAUACUCCUUGAUAGUCUGGUGUUAUGAGAUGUACAGUGAUAGUUCAACAACCUUAACAAGUGAAGCUCUUUGGCACGGAGAUUAUGUAAUACAAAUGUAAUCGUUGUAAUCUUUGUUGAAGCUUAUGAGUUCAGUAUUUUAAUUUUAUUAGAGCUAAUGAAUUUUAAAUUGAUAAUUUGUAUAUAUUCG
rnacentral:misc_RNA from 1 species